CUUGUGGAGAGUAUACAAAGAUGUGAGUAGUAUUUGAAUUUAUUCAAUGCAAAAACAUACUCGAUGAAGCAAGAA
rnacentral:ncRNA from 1 species